rnacentral:rRNA from 1 species
AUUGAACGCUGGCGGCAGGCCUAACACAUGCAAGUCGAACGAGUGGCGGACGGGUGUGAAAUGUCUGGGACAUUGCCCGAUGGAGGGGGAAAACUUCUGGAAACGGUACCUAACCCCGAAUACUAUCGGCUGAACCCAUAUGGGAUUAGCUAGUAGGUGAGGUAAUGGCUAACCAAGGCGACGAUCCCUAGCCGGUCUGAGAGGAUGAACAGCCACACUGGGCCUGAGACACGGCCCAGACUCCUACGGGAGGCAGCAGUGGGGAAUAUUGCACAAUGGGCGAAAGCCUGACGCAGCCAUGCCGCGUGUGUGAAGAAGGCCUUCGGGUUGUAAAGCACUUUCAGCGAGGAGGCGUUACCCACAGAAGAAGCAACGGCUAACUCCGUGCCAGCAGCCGCGGUAAUAC